GACGAAGGAUGCAAGCGUUAUCCGGAUUCAUUGGGUUUAAAGGGAGCGUAGGUGGCCUUGUAAGUCAGUGGUGAAAUCCUGUCGCUUAACGAUAGAAUUGCCAUUGAUACUGCAGGGCUUGAGUACAGUUGCCGUUGGCGGAAUAUGACAUGUAGUGGUGAAAUACAUAGAUAUGUCAUAGAACACCGAUUGCGAAGGCAGCUGACGAAACUGUAACUGACACUGAGGCUCGAAGUGUGGGGAUCAAACAGG
rnacentral:rRNA from 1 species